GAUGAACGCUGGCGGCGUGCCUAAUACAUGCAAGUCGAGCGAACGGACGAGAAGUUUGCUUCUCUGAUGUUAGCGGCGGACGGGUGAGUAACACGUGUAUAACCUACCUAUAAGACUGGGAUAACUUCGGGAAACCGGAGCUAAUACCGGACGAUAUUUUGAACCGCAUGGUUCAAAAGUGAAAGACGGUCUUGCUGUCACUUAUAGAUGGAUCCGCGCUGCAUUAGCUAGUUGGUAAGGUAACGGCUUACCAAGGCAACGAUGCAUAGCCGACCUGAGAGGGUGAUCAGCCACACUGGAACUGAGACACGGUCCAGACUCCUACGGGAGGCAGCAGUAGGGAAUCUUCGGCAAUGGGCGAAAGCCUGACGGAGCAACGCCGCGUGAGUGAUGAAGGUCUUCGGAUCGUAAAGCUCUGUUAUUAGGGAGGAACAUAUGUGUAAGUAACUCUGCACAUCUUGACGGUACCUACUCAGAAAGCCACGGCUAACUACGUG
rnacentral:rRNA from 1 species